rnacentral:rRNA from 1 species
UACGUAGGGUGCGAGCGUUAAUCGGAAUUACUGGGCGUAAAGUGUGCGUAGGCGGCCACCGCAAGUCGACUGUGAAAUCUCCGGGCUUAACCCGGAAAGGUCAGCCGAUACUGCGGGGCUAGAGUGCAGAAGGGGCAACUGGAAUUCUCGGUGUAGCGGUGAAUGACGUAGAUAUUACCAGGAACACCAAUGGCGAAGGCAGCUUGCUGGGCCUUUUCUGACGCUGAGGUACGAAAGCGUGGGGAGCGAACAGG